CCCAGACUCCUACGGGGGGCAGCAGUGGGGAAUAUUGCACAAUGGGGGAAACCCUGAUGCAGCAACGCCGCGUGAGUGAAGAAGUCAUUCGUUAUGUAAAGCUCUAUCAGCAGGGAAGAAAAUGAUGGUACCCGAGUAAGAAGCCCCGGCUAACUACGUGCCAGCAGCCGCGGUAAUACGUAGGGGGCAAGCGUUAUCCGGAUUUACUGGGUGUAAAGGGAGCGUAGACGGCAGUGCAAGUCUGGAGUGAAAGGCGGGGGCUCAACCCCCGGGACUGCUCUUGGAACUGCGUGGCUGGAGUGCAGGAGGGGCAGGCGGAAUUCCUGGUGUAGCGGUGAAAUGCGUAGAUAUCAGGAGGAACACCGGUGGCGAAGGCGGCCUGCUGGACUGCAACUGACGUUGAGGCCCGAAAGCGUGGGGAGCAAACAGGAUUAGAUACCCCUGUAC
rnacentral:rRNA from 1 species